ACUGCGUACCUUUUGUAUAAUGGGUCAGCGACUUAUAUUCUGUAGCAAGGUUAACCGAAUAGGGGAGCCGGAGGGAAACCGAGUCUUAAUUGGGCGUUAAGUUGCAGGGUAUAGACCCGAAACCCGGUGAUCUAGCCAUGGGCAGGUUGAAGGUUGGGUAACACUAACUGGAGGACCGAACCGACUAAUGUUGAAAAAUUAGCGGAUGACCUGUGGCUGGGGGUGAAAGGCCAAUCAAACCGGGAGAUAGCUGGUUCUCCCCGAAAGCUAUUUAGGUAGCGCCUCGUGAAUUCAUCUCCGGGGGUAGAGCACUGUUUCGGCUAGGGGGCCAUCCCGGCUUACCAACCCGAUGCAAACUGCGAAUACCGGAGAAUGUUAUCACGGGAGACACACGGCGGGUGCUAACGUCCGUCGUGAAGAGGGAAACAACCCAGACCGCCAGCUAAGGUCCCAAAGUCAUGGUUAAGUGGGAAACGAUGUGGGAAGGCCCAGACAGCCAGGAUGUUGGCUUAGAAGCAGCCAUCAUUUAAAGAAAGCGUAAUAGCUCACUGGUCGAGUCGGCCUGCGCGGAAGAUGUAACGGGGCUAAACCAUGCACCGAAGCUGCGGCAGCGACACUGUGUGUUGUUGGGUAGGGGAGCGUUCUGUAAGCCUGUGAAGGUGUGUCGUGAGGCAUGCUGGAGGUAUCAGAAGUGCGAAUGCUGACAUAAGUAACGAUAAAGCGGGUGAAAAGCCCGCUCGCCGGAAGACCAAGGGUUCCUGUCCAACGUUAAUCGGGGCAGGGUGAGUCGACCCCUAAGGCGAGGCCGAAAGGCGUAGUCGAUGGGAAACGGGUUAAUAUUCCCGUACUUGGUGUUACUGCGAAGGGGGGACGGAGAAGGCUAUGUUGGCCGGGCGACGGUUGUCCCGGUUUAAGCGUGUAGGUGUGUGUUCCAGGUAAAUCCGGUUCACUUUAACACUGAGGCGUGACGACGAGGCACUACGGUGCUGAAGCAACAAAUGCCCUGCUUCCAGGAAAAGCCUCUAAGCAUCAGGUAACAUCAAAUCGUACCCCAAACCGACACAGGUGGUCAGGUAGAGAAUACCAAGGCGCUUGAGAGAACUCGGGUGAAGGAACUAGGCAAAAUGGUGCCGUAACUUCGGGAGAAGGCACGCUGACACGUAGGUGAAGUGAUUUACUCAUGGAGCUGAAGUCAGUCGAAGAUACCAGCUGGCUGCAACUGUUUAUUAAAAACACAGCACUGUGCAAACACGAAAGUGGACGUAUACGGUGUGACGCCUGCCCGGUGCCGGAAGGUUAAUUGAUGGGGUCAGCGCAAGCGAAGCUCCUGAUCGAAGCCCCGGUAAACGGCGGCCGUAACUAUAACGGUCCUAAGGUAGCGAAAUUCCUUGUCGGGUAAGUUCCGACCUGCACGAAUGGCGUAAUGAUGGCCAGGCUGUCUCCACCCGAGACUCAGUGAAAUUGAACUCGCUGUGAAGAUGCAGUGUACCCGCGGCAAGACGGAAAGACCCCGUGAACCUUUACUAUAGCUUGACACUGAACAUUGAGCCUUGAUGUGUAGGAUAGGUGGGAGGCUUUGAAGUGUGGACGCCAGUCUGCAUGGAGCCGACCUUGAAAUACCACCCUUUAAUGUUUGAUGUUCUAACGUGGACCCGUUACCCGGGUUGCGGACAGUGUCUGGUGGGUAGUUUGACUGGGGCGGUCUCCUCCUAAAGAGUAACGGAGGAGCACGAAGGUUGGCUAAUCCUGGUCGGACAUCAGGAGGUUAGUGCAAUGGCAUAAGCCAGCUUGACUGCGAGCGUGACGGCGCGAGCAGGUGCGAAAGCAGGUCAUAGUGAUCCGGUGGUUCUGAAUGGAAGGGCCAUCGCUCAACGGAUAAAAGGUACUCCGGGGAUAACAGGCUGAUACCGCCCAAGAGUUCAUAUCGACGGCGGUGUUUGGCACCUCGAUGUCGGCUCAUCACAUCCUGGGGCUGAAGUAGGUCCCAAGGGUAUGGCUGUUCGCCAUUUAAAGUGGUACGCGAGCUGGGUUUAGAACGUCGUGAGACAGUUCGGUCCCUAUCUGCCGUGGGCGCUGGAGAACUGAGGGGGGCUGCUCCUAGUACGAGAGGACCGGAGUGGACGCAUCACUGGUGUUCGGGUUGUCAUGCCAAUGGCACUGCCCGGUAGCUAAAUGCGGAAGAGAUAAGUGCUGAAAGCAUCUAAGCACGAAACUUGCCCCGA
rnacentral:rRNA from 1 species